rnacentral:rRNA from 1 species
CACGUGAGGGGGCAAGCGUUGUCCGGAAUCAUUGGGCGUAAAGAGCUCGUAGGCGGCUCGGUAAGUCGGGUGUGAAACCCCCAGGCUCAACCUGGGGACGCCACCCGAUACUGCUGUGGCUAGAGUCCAGUAGGGGAGUGUGGAAUUCCCGGUGUAGCGGUGAAAUGACGCAGAUAUCGGGAGGAACACCAGCGGCGAAGGCGGCACUCUGGGACGGUACUGACGCUGAGACGCGAAAGCGUGGGGAGCGAACAGG